rnacentral:rRNA from 1 species
GACGAACGCUGGCGGCGUGCUUAACACAUGCAAGUCGAACGGAAAGGCCCUGCUUUUGUGGGGUGCUCGAGUGGCGAACGGGUGAGUAACACGUGAGUAACCUGCCCUUGACUUUGGGAUAACUUCAGGAAACUGGGGCUAAUACCGGAUAGGAGCUCCUGAUGCAUGGUGGGGGUUGGAAAGUUUCGGCGGUUGGGGAUGGACUCGCGGCUUAUCAGCUUGUUGGUGGGGUAGUGGCUUACCAAGGCUUUGACGGGUAGCCGGCCUGUGAGGGUGACCGGCCACAUUGGGACUGAGAGACGGCCCAGACUCCUACGGGAGGCAGAAGUGGGGAAUAUUGCGCAAUGGGGGGAAGCCUGAUGCAGCAACGUCGCGUGCGGGAUGACGGCCUUCGGGUUAUAAACCGCUUUCGCCUGUGACGAAGCGUGAGUGACGGUAAUGGGUAAAGAAGCACCGGCUAACUACGUG